GAUGAACGCUGGCGGCGUGCUUAACACAUGCAAGUCGAACGGGAAUUAUUUUAUUGAAACUUCGGUCGAUUUAAUUUAAUUCUAGUGGCGGACGGGUGAGUAACGCGUGGGUAACCUGCCUUAUACAGGGGGAUAACAGUCAGAAAUGGCUGCUAAUACCGCAUAAGCGCACAGAGCUGCAUGGCUCAGUGUGAAAAACUCCGGUGGUAUAAGAUGGACCCGCGUUGGAUUAGCUUGUUGGCAGGGUAACGGCCUACCAAGGCGACGAUCCAUAGCCGGCCUGAGAGGGUGGACGGCCACAUUGGGACUGAGACACGGCCCAGACUCCUACGGGAGGCAGCAGUGGGGAAUAUUGCACAAUGGGGGAAACCCUGAUGCAGCGACGCCGCGUGAAGGAAGAAGUAUCUCGGUAUGUAAACUUCUAUCAGCAGGGAAGAUAGUGACGGUACCUGACUAAGAAGCCCCGGCUAACUACGUG
rnacentral:rRNA from 1 species